rnacentral:misc_RNA from 1 species
CGGACAAGAAGUAGAUACAGAUCGGUCCCCACCCUUUUUUGAAUUGAAUGUCACAUUCCAUGUCCUCGAACAAAGUUUUGAUCUUUCUUGCUAGGAAGGUGCUUUUGGAUGAAUCAAAAGAUUUUCAUUUUACUCCACAAAAAAAAUCAUAAUGGAAGGUGUCUUCUUUCUUUGCUUCUCCUUGUGCUAUCAAGACUGAUUUACAUUCAAAGGUACUGCAAAGCCGCUCAUGGAUUGUGUUCGAAUUAAUACCUUUUUUUGAACUAUCGUUCAGAAUGAGUAAGAAAUGAAAAUCUUUGGCGGGUGUCAUAGUAGCAUUUUGUACUUUCUUUCCUCCUCUAGUCUAUUAAUCAAAAAAGAUCCCCGAAACCGGAACCGGACAACGAUUUUCCUUUCCGGAUUAUUCCCCGUUCUCCGCGAGAAAUAUAUAUAUAAUCGGGGAUUACUUAUUAGACUCUGAAUCCAUUCUCUCUCAGAGGAUUCAAUCUUCUUG